GACCGGCGCAAGGGUGACGUAACGCGUGAGCAACUUGCCCUUAUCAGGGGGAUAACCGGUGGAAACGCCGACUAAUACCCCAUGGCAUUGAGGUUGAGGCAUCGUCUACUCAAUUAAAGAAAUUCGGAUAAGGAUGGGCAUGCGUUCCAUUAGAUAGUUGGUGAGGUAACAGCUCACCAAGGUCGACGAUGGAUAGGGGUUCUGAGAGGAAGGUCCCCCACAUUGGUACUGAGACACGGACCAAACUCCUACGGGAGGCAGCAGUGAGGAAUAUUGGUCAAUGGGUCUAACGACUGAACCAGCCAUGCCGCGUGAAGGUCACGGCCCUAUGGGUCUUAAAUUUCUUUUGUAAGGGAGCAAUAAGCUUUACGUGUAGAGUGAUGAGAGUACCUUACGAAUAAGCAUCGGCUAACUCCGUG
rnacentral:rRNA from 1 species